rnacentral:rRNA from 1 species
UACGUAGGGUGCAAGCGUUGUCCGGAAUUAUUGGGCGUAAAGAGCUCGUAGGCGGUUUGUUGCGUCGGCUGUGAAAUCCCGAGGCUCAACCUCGGGUCUGCAGUCGAUACGAGCAAACUAGAGUGUUGCAGGGGAGACUGGGAAUUCCUGGUGAUAGCGGUGAAAUGCGCAGAUAUCAAGGAGGAACACCGGUGGCGAAGGCGGGUCUCUGGGCAACAACUGACGCUGGAGGAGCGAAAGCGUGGGGAGCGAACAGG